rnacentral:rRNA from 1 species
UACGGAGGGGGCUAGCGUUGUUCGGAAUUACUGGGCGUAAAGCGCGCGUAGGCGGACCUGCAAGUCGGGGGUGAAAGCCCGAGGCUCAACCUCGGAACUGCCUUCGAUACUGCGGGUCUCGAGUUCGGGAGAGGUGAGUGGAAUUCCUAGUGUAGAGGUGAAAUUCGUAGAUAUUAGGAAGAACACCAGUGGCGAAGGCGGCUCACUGGCCCGGUACUGACGCUGAGGCGCGAAAGCGUGGGGAGCAAACAGG